rnacentral:rRNA from 1 species
AUGUUUGCUGCNNNNNNNNNNUUCACCAAUGCAUGCGCUAGUGUGCUUGAUGAUAUGGAAUUUAAUCAGCUGGCUAUGACUGCAAUUGAAUACCUUAACCAGAGCCGAAAGGAAGAGAAGGUCAAGUUCAGAUUGUCUGAGCGUCUCUGCCAAUGUUAUUUUGACGAGGAGGAGGCUAGUACUUCCCACAGAAAGCAAUAUAUCCAUAUGAACUUCUAUGUUCACACGGAGUCUGAAAGGCUUCCGCAGCUUGUGUUUGCGGAGUUUGUCGAAGCUAAUAGGAACGAUGAUUGUUCCUGGGAUUUGUUGUCAUGCAAAACUAUAACCAAGAACAGUCCUGGCACCUGGAGGACAACCAAGUGA